UCAGAAUUAAACCUGCUCUGCCCAGGCUCUCUGUUUGUUCAGUUCCUCCUCUGCUGGCUGCAGAACUCUAUCCCCGUUCGGAGACAACGACACGGCCAUAAAUCGCUCAAAACUGCCAUGAGAAUGAAAAUCCCGUAGCCUGCAGCAGAACUAAAAGCCGUCAUUAUUUACAUCAUUAACAUGUGUUCCAGCAACUAAGCGAGUUGAUGAAAAGUAUAAUUUAGCCGAACAUAAUAGACGAGGCUGGAACAGUUGGAGUCUUUUGUAAGCGUUGCUUCAGAAAAAAAAGUAAUUUAAAAAAAAGUCAUUUUGAAAAUGGAUGUUCAAAGGAAUCUUGCUAAGCACCCCUAUGUUUUGUGGCAUUGAAUACAUUUGUAAUAAGAUGUUGUUAAGAAAAUGUUGUAAGCAAAAAAAAAAA